UUUUUCAAUUGAUGAACCAUAAUUCUCAAAAUCUUUAUUGGUCUACAACUAUCAAAUUAUUUUAAAAUCUUUGCUAAACUGUCUAAAAUAUUAGCAACUUAGUUGAAGAAUUUGAUUGUGGGUCUUCAACGACAACGUGAUCGGGAAAGACAAAGGACUAUGAGCCAAUUGCAAAUUAUCAAUCUUCCCUUCUAGCAGC
rnacentral:lncRNA from 1 species